UAAAAGGGUGUUUGCCGCUUCGAUGGCACGUGGGCUGGGGUUUCGGCUCCGGUCCGCGGGGUAUGGCCAUCAAGACAUACCCAACACGUAAUUUUUAGAGCAGAGAGGCUGUUGGCUACCCUCAUGUACCGGCGCCUCC
rfam:Operophtera brumata OBRT01_Sc03029, whole genome shotgun sequence.